UCUGGCAGCAGGAUAUAGGUCAAGAUUCCUCAAAAUAGCCGUGAAGCCGGAGGCAGUAGGGCCGUCACUGACCUGGUGAAACAGUAACUCUGUGUGGCAGGCGCCCACGUCCCUGUGUGCGCUCUGUGUGUUUCUCGUGAAACACUCGACUAGACGUUGACAUUUCAGGACUCCUGCAUCUCAGCGACAUGGCCGAGACUACAAUAUCUGACACCAUCAUGAAGGUGGUUUCAUCUUAAAUAUGUCUGGAUCCUGAGGCGUAGCUACAAGACAGGAAGCAGGAGAUCGGGCCUCAGGCUCUGGAGCUCUCUCAUGUAAGCUGUGGUUAAAAAGUCAGAAGAGAAAAACUCGAGGAAAAGAGACUGGACCACUGAAGAUGAAGAAGAAGAAGAAGAAGAAGAAAAAGAGCUCAUAGUGAUGGUGGGACGGAGCGGCGGAGGAGAAGCUGAUGGUGGAAUUGUCCUGUCACUGGAUGGAUUGACUCAUUCUUCCUGGCACACGGGGACCCCUAACAACUACUUGUCUCCUUCUGAUUAUAUCUCCCCCAACAGAUUACUGAGUUAGAGACUCCGACUUUGACCUUGGCUAAGUGUUCCGCCGAGUGAGAUCUUUUUUUUAUCUCCUUUAGGUAUUAACCCAGGUUUUUCAUUUCAUAUUUCACAUCUUAUACAUGCUUAUGCUUCGAAUAAAAUAAAUAAAUAAAUACAUAAAUAUGGGGAUGUAGUGCACCA